rnacentral:pre_miRNA from 1 species
AAAAACCUGGAAACUACCAUUAGAUCGAAAAAUGGACGUCUGAGAUUCAUCCACAUCACCAUGAGUACAAAUUUUACUCGCUCAUGGUGACGUGGAUAAAUCUCGGACGUCCAUUUUUCGAUCCAAUGGUAGUUUCCCAGUUUUC